GGAAUGACCUCCAAAGUGACUGCAGCUCUGCAGCAAGGAGGGUACACCUACCUCUACAGUGGACCACAAAUGUUUGAGUAUGCCAUGUGGAGCGGGAGGCUGUACCGUGUGCUGCCGAACAGCUACUUCUUGCCCUGCUACUAUAAGCCAGUUUUCUAACUUGUUUACAGAAGACUUUGAAUGUUAAAUAAGGCACAGUAAAAAAAAAAUAAAGAGAAACUGUAUCAAUAUAAUUUUGGAUAUCUAAUGUUAUUGUUGAACAAUUACCAGCAGCUUAUGUACUUAAUUUUGUUUUUGUUAUGUUAAUCAUUGCUUCAUUGAGGUUCACCUUUUUAUUUUGUUUUAUUUAUGGCACAGUCAUUAUGUAAUUCUUUCACUCGCUAAUUGUUUUUGUUGUGUUUUCAACUUUAAUUACUGUGACUUUAUGUAUACAAAAGAUCAAAUGAAGUGCAGUAAAAUUAAAUUGACAUCAUCAAUAAGCA